rfam:Oryza sativa (indica cultivar-group) chromosome 7, whole genome shotgun sequence.
AACCACACUAUGAAUGAAUGGAUUCACCAGCGAAAUGACGUGUCUGUUUCACCUAGGAUGAGGACAUGGCAUCCUAUUACCAGCCAUCACAUGAAAUUAAUAGGAUGCCACGUCCUCAUCCUUGAUGGAACAACCACGUUAUCUCAUGGGUGAAUACAUUCAUCAAUAGUGUGGUU